rnacentral:rRNA from 1 species
UACAGAGGUCCCAAGCGUUGUUCGGAUUCACUGGGCUUAAAGCGUGUGUAGGCGGAGUGCUAAGUACCUUGUGAAAUCCCACGGCUUAACCGUGGAACUGCUUGGUAUACUGGUUCUCUUGAGCCACCUAGGGGCAACCGGAACAAACGGUGGAGCGGUGAAAUGCGUAGAUAUCGUUUGGAACGCCAAUGGUGAAAACAGGUUGCUGGGGGUGUGCUGACGCUGAGACACGAAAGCCAGGGGAGCGAACGGG